CUCGGGGCGGCGAUUCCCGGCGGGGGCGGCUUCCCGCUGCCGGAGCCCGUGCCGCCCCUGAGAACGGGAGGAGCGCUCGAGCUCGCUCUGCCCUAGGACUUCCCGCGGACCCGGCGCCCCCCGGCUGCGGCCGUGGGUUUGAAAAGCGGCUCUGCGGAUCCGGGAGUGAAGCAGCAUGGAUGCUGUCAGCCAGGUCCCCAUGGAAGUCGUGCUCCCCAAGCACAUCCUGGAUAUCUGGGUCAUUGUCCUCAUCAUCCUGGCCACCAUUGUCAUCAUGACCUCCCUGUUGCUCUGCCCGGCCACUGUGGUCAUCAUCUAUCGCAUGCGGACUCACCGUGUCCUCAGCGGGGCUGUCUGAGAAUCUCCCAAGAGGGGCAGUUCUGGUUUCAGAAACUGUGGAGGUAACAUAAAGUGCAUCCAGUCAGCCUCUCCGAGGAGAAGCAAGCAGUCUUCUCUCUACGAGCCCGGCUGCCAGUGUUGCCUGUCCCGUAUUUCCUGCGUCACUCUAGUCCGCCUGCAUCGCAUUCCCCACGAGCAUUUGCUUACAGGGGAAGAUGUUUUGUGUUCUAGGAAUUGAACAGCAACUGGCCAAAGAUUGAUUUGUGGACUCUCUGAACACCAGGGCAGCAGAUUGCUUUUUUUCUUUUUCCAUACUUAUUUUGAAUUUAUGGGAAAUGAGAAGUUAAAUGAACUACAACUUUUCACUUUGUUGCAAGGAGCCUGUCACUUUCAAAAGGGACUAACAUUCUUUUUUGGUGUAAUGGGUUAAGCGGUGGCCCCCCAAAAGAUAUGGCCACUUCCUGAUUCCUGGAACCUGUGAAUGUGAACUUAUUUGGAAAAAAAGGUCUUUGUUGAUGUCAUUUAGUCAGGGGUUUUGAAAUGCAGAGAUCAUUCUGGACUAUAUGGGUAGGCUCUAAAUCCAAUGACACGUGUCCUUAUAAAAGACACAUAGAGAAGAGGAGGGGCAGUGUGAGCAUGGAGCAGAGACGAAGCGAUGUGGCCGCAAGCCUCGGGGUGUCUGGGGCCUCCAAAUGUGAAAGAGCUAUGCAGUGCAUUGUCUCCAGAGCCUUUGGAGGGAACAGAGCCCUGCUGAAACCUUGAUUUCGACUUCUGAUAUCCAAAACUAUGAGAGAAUAAAUUUCCUUUGAUUUAAGCCACUGAAACUGUGGUAAUUUGUUAGAGCAGCCCUAGGAAACUGAUACACUUGGUAAGCUGAUGUGGGAUGAUGAAGUUUUUCCACAACUGCAUGAGUGGACUAAGAAUUCUAAAAAAUAAACAUUAUUGGAUGAGGGGAGAUAACAUAAAACACUUUAGAAAAGAAAAGGAAAAGGGGGGAAAAAAGAGAAGAUUAAGGUUGGUAGCUAGAAUGUGAACUAAGGCAGAAGACUGAAAAGCUUUGCUGGGUGUCUGAGAAGAGCACAAACUGAGGAGGAGGACAGAUAAUAUGCAUCCAUUUUUUUACAGUGUCAGAGAGUUACUUUGUCUUCUCAUGUUCGGUUCAUAUUCUUGUGUGUAUGUGUAUAAUUAAGUAUUUUAUACCAGAAACAGCCCCUCAGAGAAAGUCAUUGGAUGAGAUUCAAUCUUUUGAUUAUAUACCCAUUAUUCACAUUAUUUCUGUUCAUUUGAAGGGGAGCAGAAUAUGUGACCCCAAAAUAUGCCACUUUGGCAUGUGAAUUACUUUAAGCAGAAGGCAAUCAAGACUCAGCUGAUUAAAGAUAAAGUUUUCUCUCUCUUAACUAUCUCAAAGAAUUUAGAGGGGGCCUGGCCCAGAAAGGGCUGCUUCCAGAGAUAACUCUGACAUGAAUGACCUAUGUGUAUGGCUGGGUUAACAUCCAAUUACCAAGCAGCUGCUCAUCUAAUUGUCCUGUGAAUUACCCUCCUCCCUUUGCAAGUCCCACCUUAACCCAGUCCUUAGCUCAGGAUGCAUAUAAGCCUCAGUUGCCUGUCAUUGAUCUCAUAUUUUUAUGGGGCUCCUAUAUCAUGAAAUUAAACUUGUUUUUCUUCUGUUAAUGUGGUUUGUGUUAAUUUAAUUAUUAGACCAGCCAAAGAACCUAGAAGGGGAAGGAAAAACUUCACUCCCCUACAGAUGGAACUUGAGUGGCUAAAUAAAAAUGAUUAGCUUAAGUGUGGAGACAUACAGAAUUCAGCCAGGACAUUGAGAAGAAAAGAAGAUAAUGGAAAAGAAUGAAAAGUCACCUAGAAAAGAGCCCUAGAAAAGUUCUAGGAGUUGGGGGUUUUCUCUGAGUGCUUAAUACAAGGUCACCCAUACAGAAUAAGGGAGAACUGCAUCCUUUUAAUUUUAGCCAAGAUUUUUUUUUUUAGUCAAGAUUUUAAAAUUCUGAAAAUGGAAUGCAUUCAUUUGCAGUUCUAGAGCAUGAAGUACUAUUUUUGAGAAAAUAUCCUAAGCGUUGUGAAAAAAACACUUCUAUUUAUUUAUUUGUUGGCAAAGGCUAUGAAUUCUUAUCAAUCUAAAGGAAUCUUUAAACUUUGGGAGAGGGUAUGAGGUAGCUCUGCCCUUUGAGAGGAUCUAUUCCUCUCUAGGCUGGUUGUGGCAAAAACAGAUUUUAAUGGUCAGAGAGACCUCAGGCAUCCAGAGCUACAUGUAGAAUAGAGGCUCAGGACACCUAAGAAAAGAUCCAAGAAUUAUGUGAGGAGUUCUUACCACAAUAAUAAUAAUAGUCAAAAAAUAAAAGAGUGGCCUCAUUGCGUAGUCCUGACUGACUAAAUCAUUGGCCAUUGGUGGAAUCAGCCUCCAGCCCCCUGCCCUUGGGUGGGGUCCAAAAGUCUCUCAUUAACAUGACAAGACACCUGUUUCACCUCUGAGACUGCAGUGUUUUCAGGAACUGGGGAUGAAGACUGAACAUACCUGGGAAAUAUAUAUUUGGUCAUAUGAGUGACCAAAUAUGUAUUUCUUAUAACUCAUUAUAUCACAAGUUAUAUAUCAACUGUACAACUAUAUAAUACUAAAAAAAAAAACAAGGACAAGAGCGAGUGAAAGAGAGAGAAGGAUAGAAGAGUUAACAAAAUAGCAAACAAUAUACACUCCCCCAGGUCCGCAUGCAAUUGUUAAAAUUUUGAACUUGAAUAAAUGUUUUUAUUUAAAAAUUCUUCAAGGAGAUCUCUAUACUCUUCAUAACUAGUUGGAAGGCUCAGUUUAAGUUAUUGGUUCUAGAUUUGACCAGUGAUAACUCUUGCAAGUGUCCUUUUGACCUGUCUCCACAAUUCUCUGUGCAUCUCUUUACGUCCUGAUCCAAGGAACUGUCCUGGGUUCACCUUACCCUUUCCCUGCCCUGGACUUGGCAUCAGCCAUUUCUCCAAGGAGCCUUGAUUCCUUUCAGUGGAGUCUGGUCUUUAGAAGGGAUUGGGAAGCAAGGUGUGCUCAUUGUUUACUGGAGUUUUGCUGCUUCCUCUCCUCGAUGGACAGAGCUAGUUAAUGUAUAUCUCUAUAUAAACACACAGAUUUACACCUGUGUUUCUAUAUCUACAUGAAAAAAAAUUGUAGAUAUACACUAAUACCUCCAGUUCCAAUCUAACACGAUAGGGUUUAUUCAAAUUUUCUCCUUUUCCAUAUUUGAAACUCCCUUCUCCAAAAGUGAGAAAGCUUAAUGUAUCUAUUUGAUCAGUUCUUUGGCUGUCACCAAUUUCUCAUCACUGCAACAUCCGAAACUCCCCAUGUGCGAUGUCCCCCUCACUGGUUUGGGCUCUGGUAGCCCUAACUAGCCCAUCAUCCCCACCUUGCUUGGGCUGUAACAUCCUGCUCCGGACCACCUCAGAGUCCUCUGGCUGCAUUGUAGUCAUCUGCCUUGCUAAGAUCCUCCAUAGGCCUUUGAUCUAAUCAAGGAAAGGAUACAAGAAGAAUUACCAUUUUAUUUCAAGCUAAUGUUUGCUAAAUGCUAUUUACCAAACUAUAUUAUCUCAUUUUAGUGUCAUUAUGGCCCUGAGAAGUAGAUAUGACUUCUACAAAUUGGAGCUGUCAAGAUCAAAGAAGUUGUGUCAUUUGUCAGUAUCCAUAGCAGUAAGUAGCAGAUACAGGACUGGACCUAUCGGCCUGACUAUAACUACUACUCCUAACCUGGAGGCUGUGCAUAUGAAUAUAUAUUUCAUAUCUUUUCAAUGCAUUGAAAAAGGUGGUUCAAUUUUAAAGUCAAUAGUUUUUAGUAUAUAAAUAUUUGGGGUAUAUGAAUUCUCAAAUAAUUAGGUACUUUGAAAAGAUUGUACAUAAAGAAAAUGUUCUUUCUUUAAUGAUGGCAUUAAGGAUUUGUAAAGGUAUUUUAUAAUUUACACCAUUUCAUUUCAUAAUCUUUAUCUAUUCUGUUUUAAGGCAUACUUUAGUGGUUAAACUUUUAUGUACUGAAUCAUUUUCAAUAUGCCUUUUCAUAAUUUAGGGAAAAAAUAUGAGGAAAGAGUUCUUAGGCUGUUUGUCUUUUGCUAAUAAUGGUGAGCCAUUGCAUGCACUAGUUUCUGAAAGAAAAACAAGAAGGAUGACUUAGAAGAGGCUAGAUUUUUAACCUUAGUUACAGAUCCAUUAUGAUUUCCUUGUCAACUUUACAGAAACUUGACAAGUUUCCUGCCUAAUCAAACUAUUCUAAAUUGUAAUGGAAAAGCCUACUCUUUCUCCCUUACUUGUUUUCACAUAUUCCCACCGCCUUGCACGGAGGCCUCUGAAAUUCCUAAACUAUUGGCUAGCUUUGGUACUGCCUACUGUAUGCCAGGCACUGUUAGGGAAUUUACUGACAUUAUAUCAUUUAAACCUCUUAGUAACCUGUUAGGUGAAUAUUAUUUUACAGAUGAGAAAAUUAGAAUGUAACAGUAAGCAUGUAUUUAGCACCUCUUGUAUGUGAGGGGUUAGCUAUUUGUUCUGUGCAAAUUGUCACAUUUAAAUCUCACAACUAUUUUCAUAUGCUAUGGCUCUAUUUUUUGGUCCCCUCCCUGUUUCUGACCCGCAGAUAAGGGAGGGGAUGCUAUGAGUUAUCGAAGAUCUGAAGGAACCAGCCAGGGGACUCAAGGCGUAACAGCUCUAGAGUGGUGCCGAGAGGGCACCUCUCAUAUUAAUUGACUAAAUGGUUGUUAACAACAAUAAAAUUCUGUAUAGGGGACUCAGUGCACAAUCUUUAAUCAAGUCCAACUCUCAACAGACUCCAAUCUUCUGAAGCAUAACGAACAAGUUCUUACAUAGGGAACAAUGCAAGGGCACUUGUAUCACAGAAACUGUUUCUGUUUUGACCAUGAAUCAUGAACUAUAAACAAUCAAGUCAGAUAUGAUUAUUCAUAUGAUUUUUAUA